rnacentral:rRNA from 1 species
UACGAAGGGGGCUAGCGUUGUUCGGAAUUACUGGGCGUAAAGCGCGUGUAGGCGGGUCUUUAAGUCAGGGGUGAAAUGCCAAGGCUCAACCUUGGAACUGCCUUUGAUACUGGAGACCUUGAGUCCGGGAGAGGUGAGUGGAAUUGCGAGUGUAGAGGUGAAAUUCGUAGAUAUUCGCAAGAACACCAGUGGCGAAGGCGGCUCUCUGGGACGGUACUGACGCUGAGACGCGAAAGCGUGGGGAGCGAACAGG